rfam:Macaca mulatta chromosome X, whole genome shotgun sequence.
AAGGGAAAGAUGAAAGAACUGUCUCAAGCACUAAAAAGCAAAUAUAAACCCUAUACCUUCUGCAUAAUACAUUAACCAGAAAUAGCUUUACACAGAGAACUAUAGUCAAGUUCCCUGAAACCAGACGAGCUACCCAAGAACAGCUGAAAGAGCACACUCUCCUAUGUGGCAAAAUAUUGGGAAGAUUUAUGUGUAGUGGUGACAAGUCUACCAAACCUGGUGAUAGGUGGUUGUCCAACAUAGAAUCUUAGUUCAACUUUAAACUACCCACAGAAUUAUUUAAUCUCCCUGUAAGUUUAACUGUUAGUCUAAAGAGGAACAGCUCUUUAGACCCCAGGGAACAACCUUCCUACAGAGAGUAAAAAAUAUUACUACCAUAGUUGGCCCAAAAGCAGCCACCAAUGAGGAAAGUAUUUAAGCUCAAUAUCUAACUUUUAAAAUUCUAAUUACUCUACUGAACUCCUAGCAUCACAUUGGGCUAAUCUAUUAUCUAAUAGAAACAAUAAUGUUAGUAUAAGUAACAUGAAGACAUUCACCAUUGCUUAAGCUUACAUCAGACUGGAAUAACCCACUGACAGUUAACAUCCUAAUACUAAUAAAUGAUAUAAUAAGCACCCUAUUAUUGAUAAUGUUAACCCGACACAGGUAUACUCUAAGAAAAUAUUACAAAAAGUAAAAGGAACUCGGCAAAUCAUACCCUGCCUGUUUACUAAAAACAUCACUCUAGCAUUACCAGUAUUAGAGUCACUGCCUGCCCAGUGACAUAUGUUCAAUGGCCGCAGUAUCCUGACCAUGCAAAGGUAGCAUAAUCACUUGUUCCCUAAAGAGAGACUUGUAUGAAUGGCCACAGGAGGGUUCAGCUGUCUCUUAUUUUUAAUCAGUGAAAUUGACCUGUCCGUGAAGAGGCGGAUAUAAACAGAUAAGAUGAGAACACCCUAUGGAGCUUUAAUUCAUUAAUGCAAAUAAAAAUUCAAGCAAGCCUAAAGGCCCUAGCCUAUAAUCCCUGCACUAAAAAUUUUGGUUGGAGUGACUUCAGAGCAUAAUUCAACCCCUGAACAACCUAAACUAAGACCACUAGUCUAAUCGAGUUAAUACCCAUUUACCCAAUAAUUUGAUCAAUGGAAUAAGUUACCCUAGGGAUAACAGCACAAUUCUAUUCUAGAGUUCAUAUCGACAAUAGGGUUUAUGACCUGGAUGUUGGAUCAGGACAUCCUAACGGUGUAGCCACUAUUAAGUGUUCAUUUGUUCAAUGAUUAAAGUCCUAAGUGAUCUGAGUUCAGACCGGAGUAAUCCAGGUCGGUUUCUAUCUAUUUAACAUUUCUCCUAG